CAAAAUCUAAUUAAGUAUCAUUUUAUUUCCUAAAGGGACGUCUUCGAACGUCAUCUAAGACCAAGUUAAGGAAAUUUCGGAAGGAGCUUUAGCUUUUGAGGUUGAACGUGGACGAGCAGGCGAAGGUGUUGGGACAAGCUUUUUAAAUAAGUAGUUAGGUAGCCCAAAGUAGCAUGUCUUCAUACGUGCUAUUUUGUCUUGGACUCUUCCGCUGCGAAUCUAGAAUUUUGUGCUAGAAAGCUAUGAACUUAGUUUUGAUACUCUGAACACGUUUUGACUAUGUACCCAUAUGCCCUUGAUACUAUUGAUUUAAGUGAUUUCAUCCU